CAAUAGCGUAUAUUUAAGUUGUUGCAGUUAAAAAGCUCGUAGUUGGAUUUCUGCUGAUCGCUGUCGGUCUGCCGUAAGGUGUGUACUGGCAGUGUUUGGCAUCUAUUCGAGAUUGGGUGUCCACUUGAUUGUGUGCACUCGAUGUCGGAGCUAAUACUUUGAGAAAAUUAGAGUGUUCCACGCAGGCGCGUGCCUUGAAUACUGCAGCAUGGGAUAUUGGAAGGCCGAUUGAGCUUUCUUGUUGGUUCUCGGUUUGAUCGGAAUGAUUAAUAGGGAUAGUUGGGGGCAUUCGUAUUCAACUGUCAGAGGUGAAAUUCUUGGAUUUGUUGAAGACGGACUACUGCGAAAGCAUCUGCCAUGGAUGUUCUCAUUGA
rnacentral:rRNA from 1 species